ACUCCUACGGGAGGCAGCAGUAGGGAAUCUUCCACAAUGGACGAAAGUCUGAUGGAGCAACGCCGCGUGAGUGAUGAAGGGUUUCGGCUCGUAAAACUCUGUUGUUGGAGAAGAACAGGUGAUAGAGUAACUGUUAUCAUCUUGACGGUAUCCAACCAGAAAGCCACGGCUAACUACGUGCCAGCAGCCGCGGUAAUAC
rnacentral:rRNA from 1 species